CAAAAUAGUACUCAGCUGGAACAAGUGAAUCAGAUGCUAAAUCUCACCCAAGAAGAAAUAACAGCAACAGUGAAAGUAAAUUUGCCAUUUGGGAGGCCUAGGGUACUGCAGAAGAACGUGGACCACUGUCUCCUUUACCACAGGGAAUAUGUCAGUGGAUUUGGAAAAGCUAUGAGGAUGCCCAUGUGGAGUUCAUACACAGUCCCCCAGUUGAAAGGACCUUCCUGUACCUCCCCUCCAUCCUUCUAAUGGGCUGCCUAUUGCAUA
rnacentral:lncRNA from 1 species